UGUUAGUGGGGAUAACUUUCCGAAAGGAACGCUAAUACCGCAUAACUUCUUACGGGAGAAAGCAGGGGACCUUCGGGCCUUGCGCUAUCAGAUGAGCNUAGGUCGGAUUAGCUAGUUGGUGAGGUAAUGGCUCACCAAGGCGACGAUCCGUAACUGGUCUGAGAGGAUGAUCAGUCACACUGGAACUGAGACACGGCCCAGACUCCUACGGGAGGCAGCAGUGGGGAAUAUUGGACAAUGGGCGAAAGCCUGAUCCAGCCAUGCCGCGUGUGUGAAGAAGGUCUUCGGAUUGUAAAGCACUUUAAGUUGGGAGGAAGGGCAGUAAGCUAAUACCUUGCUGUUUUGACGUUACCGACAGAAUAAGCACC
rnacentral:rRNA from 1 species